rnacentral:rRNA from 1 species
AGAGCGAACGCUGGCGGCAGGCCUAACACAUGCAAGUCGAGCGGCCGUAGCAAUACGGCAGCGGCAGACGGGAGAGUAACACGUGGGAACGCGCCCUUCGGUUCGGAAUAACUCAGGGAAACUUGGGCUAAUACCGGAUACGCCCUUACGGGGAAAGAUUUAUUGCCGAAGGAACGGCCCGCGUCCGAUUAGCUUGUUGGUGAGGUAACGGCUCACCAAGGCGACGAUCGGUAGCUGGUCUGAGAGGAUGACCAGCCUCACUGGGACUGAGACACGGCCCAGACUCCUACGGGAGGCAGCAGUGGGGAAUAUUGGACAAUGGGCGCAAGCCUGAUCCAGCCAUGCCGCGUGGGUGAUGAAGGCCCUAGGGUUGUAAAGCCCGUUUCGGGCGGGAAGAUAAUGACGGUACCCGCAGAAGAAGCCCCGGCUAACGUUCGCGCCAGCAGCCGC